rnacentral:rRNA from 1 species
AGAGUUUGAUCCUGGCUCAGAAUGAACGCUGGCGGCGUGCCUAACACAUGCAAGUCGUACGAGAAAUCCCGAGCUUGCUUGGGAGAGUAAAGUGGCGCACGGGUGAGUAACGCGUGGGUAACCCACCUUCGAAUCUGGGAUAACUCCGCGAAAGCGGUGCUAAUACCGGAUAAGACCACAGCCGUUUCGGCGGCAGAGGUAAAAGCUGACCUCUCCAUGGAAGUUAGCGUUCGAGGACGGGCCCGCGUCCUAUCAGCUUGUUGGUGGGGUAAAGGCCUACCAAGGCAGCGACGGGUAGCUGGUCUGAGAGGAUGAUCAGCCACACUGGAACUGGAACACGGUCCAGACUCCUACGGGAGGCAGCAGUGAGGAAUUUUGCGCAAUGGGGGAAACCCUGACGCAGCAACGCCGCGUGGGUGAAGAAGGCUUUCGGGUCGUAAAGCCCUGUCAGGUGGGAAGAACCGUUUCGAUACUAAUAAUGUCGAAGCCUGACGGUACCACCAGAGGAAGCACCGGCCAACUCCGUGCCAGCAGCCGCGGUAAUACGGAGGGUGCAAGCGUUGUUCGGAAUUAUUGGGCGUAAAGAGCGUGUAGGCGGUCCGGUAAGUCAGAUGUGAAAGCCCUGGGCUCAACCCAGGAAGUGCA